CCUGGCUCAGGAUGAACGCUAGCGGGAGGCUUAAUACAUGCAAGUCGAGCGGCAAGUUUUGAUAGCAAUAUUGGAACCUAGAGCGGCGCACGGGUGAGUAACGCGUACAUGACCUGCCCUAUACUGGGGGAUAGUCUUGGGAAACUGAGAAUAAUCCCGCAUGUGAUUAGAAUGCUGCAUGGCAAAUUAAUUAAAGCUGAGGCGGUAUAGGAUGGGUGUGCGUCUGAUUAGCUAGUUGGUAGUGUAACGGACUACCAAGGCGAUGAUCAGUAGGGGGCGUGAGAGCGUGACCCCCCACACGGGUACUGAGACACGGACCCGACUCCUACGGGAGGCAGCAGUAAGGAAUAUUGGUCAAUGGAGGGAACUCUGAACCAGCCAUCCCGCGUGAAGGAUGAAGGGGCUCUGCCUUGUAAACUUCUUUUGCAUGGGACGAAAAAACUUAAUUUAUUAAGGACUGACGGUACCAUGAGAAUAAGCACCGGCUAACUCCGUG
rnacentral:rRNA from 1 species